AUCCUUGCCUGACAGGAGGAAGCUAACAUUCACAAAAGUGUGUUCUCCUGGUGAAGCUAUUCACCUGCUCUCCAGGUGUGCUGACCUGUAUUACUUUCCCAGGUGUGGAAAACUUGAUGGCAUAUUUGAGGUGGAGGGGACUGCACCCACUCCUG
ensembl:snRNA U1 U1 spliceosomal RNA